CCCUUAGAUGUCCUGGGUCGCACGCGCGCUACACUGAACGGAUCAGCGCGUUUUCCCUUCCCGAGAGGGACGGGUAACCUGCUGAACCCCGUUCGUGGUAGGGAUCGGGGCUUGCAAUUAUUCCCCGUGAACCAGGAAUGCCCAGUAAGUGCAAGUCAUAAGCUUGCGUUGAUUACGUCCCUGCCCUUUGUACACACCGCCCGUCGCUACUACCGAUUGAACGUUUUAGUGAGGUACUCGGACUGAGCCUCAGAAGAUUCACGUCUUUUGUGCUGCUCGGGAAGAUUCCCAAACUUGAGCGUUUAGAGGAAGUAAAAGUCGUAACA
rnacentral:rRNA from 1 species